rnacentral:rRNA from 1 species
AUACAGAGGGUGCGAGCGUUAAUCGGAUUUACUGGGCGUAAAGCGCGCGUAGGUGGCUAAUUAAGUCAAAUGUGAAAUCCCCGAGCUUAACUUGGGAAUUGCAUUCGAUACUGGUUAGCUAGAGUAUGGGAGAGGAUGGUAGAAUUCCAGGUGUAGCGGUGAAAUGCGUAGAGAUCUGGAGGAAUACCGAUGGCGAAGGCAGCCAUCUGGCCUAAUACUGACCCUGAGGUGCGAAAGCAUGGGGAGCAAACAGGAUUAGAUACCCUGGUAGUCCAUGCCGUAAACGAUGUCUACUAGCCGUUGGGGGAUUUGAUCCUUUAGUGGCGCAGCUAACGCGAUAAGUAGACCGCCUGGGGAGUACGGUCGCAAGACUAAAAAUCAAAUGAAUUGACGGG